CCAAGGAUAGGGAGGGUGCUGCACAUGGGCUCUUUAGGGGCACAUGUGUGACAAUAUGUGUCUAUAUAUUCAUAGCCAUAGCACCACACCUCCUUAGGGUUUUUCAAGUUAGAUAUUGAGAAAGAGAGGAAACAUCAAACCUCUCUUCCUUGCUCUCUCUUGGCCGGCUACUUGAGGAAGAAAAGGCUAGCACCCAUCUUCUCCUCAAGCUUCCUUAUUCUCCUAUUCCAUUCCAUCC
rnacentral:lncRNA from 1 species